GGAUGUGAGGGUGAUCGGGCUGCGACAUCUGUCACCCCACUGAUCACCAGGGUUGAUUCAGCUGAUCUGGCUGGCUAGGCGGGUGUUCCCUUCCUCCCUCACCGCUCCAUGUAUGUCCCUCCCGAAGCUGCGCACUUGGGUCAAAGAGGACGACCUUCCCGGAUAGAGGAGAAGACCAUUCUUCUGUCAAUGGUAUAGGAGUAGCUGCGACCCGCUGCUACAAACUCCAAACAAGCUCUCAAGCUUUGAGAGGAGAAAGACAAGCCAACAGAACAGAAACCUACUGCUGAUUCCACAGCCAUU
ensembl:misc_RNA 7SK 7SK RNA